AGCCUGCUCACUGAUAAAAUUAUUAAAUAGCCGCGGUAUCUUGACCGUGCAAAGGUAGCAUAAUCAUUAGUUUUUUAAUUGGAAACUAGCAUGAAUGGUUGGACAAAGAAAAAGCUGUCUCUUUCAUUAAAAUUGAAUUUAACUUCUAAGUGAAAAGGCUUAGAUAUCUUAGAGGGACGAUAAGACCCUAUAAAGCUUUAUAAAUUCAAAGAUUUUAUAUAUUUUUUUUAAUAAUGAUAAUUUUUCAAAAAUUUAUUGGGUUGGGGCAACAGAAGUAUAAUUAUCAAUAACUGCUAUAAAGUAUUACAAUUAUUUUUGUUAUUAGAGAGUUGUUGAUCCUCGAAAGGGAUUAAAAGAUCAAGUUACUUUAGGGAUAACAGCGUAAUUUAUCUUGAGAGUUCUUAUCAAAGGAUAAGUUUGCGACCUCGAUGUUGAAUUAAAAUGUCUUUAUAGUGCAGCAGCUAUACAAGAAGGUCUGUUCGACCUUUAAUUUUUU
rnacentral:rRNA from 1 species